rnacentral:rRNA from 1 species
GAUGAACGCUGCCGGAAUGCUUAACACAUGCAAGUCGAUGGGGAAGUGGUGCUUGACCCAUGGCAACCAUGGCGGACGGGUGAGUAACGCGUAAGGGACUUACCUGCAGGACUGGGAUAACAGGGGGAAACUCCUGACAAGACCGGAUAAUGUCAUGGAGCCGCAUGGCUUUAUGAUGAAAGGAGACGCCUGCGGAGAGCCUUGCGUCCUAUUAGCUAGUUGGUGAGGUAAUGGCUCACCAAGGCGAAGAUAGGUAGCCGGCCUGAGAGGGUGGACGGCCACAAGGGGACUGAGAUACGGCCCUUACUCCUACGGGAGGCAGCAGGGGGGAAUAUUGGACAAUGGGGGCAACCCUGAUCCAGCAAUUCUGUGUGCACGAAGAAGGUUUUCGGAUUGUAAAGUGCUUUCAGCAGGGAAGAAGUAAGUGACGGUACCUGCAGAAGAAGCGACGGCUAAAUACGUG